rnacentral:rRNA from 1 species
GUAGCUGGUCUGAGAGGAUGAUCAGCCACACCGGGACUGAGACACGGCCCGGACUCCUACGGGAGGCAGCAGUGGGGAAUAUUGGACAAUGGGGGAAACCCUGAUCCAGCCAUGCCGCGUGUGUGAAGAAGGCCUUUUGGUUGUAAAGCACUUUAAGCAGUGAAGAAGACUCUUCGGUUAAUACCCGGAGACGAUGACAUUAGCUGCAGAAUAAGCACCGGCUAACUCUGUGCCAGCAGCCGCGGUAAUACAGAGGGUGCAAGCGUUAAUCGGAAUUACUGGGCGUAAAGCGAGCGUAGGUGGCUUGAUAAGUCAGAUGUGAAAUCCCCGGGCUUAACCUGGGAACUGCAUCUGAUACUGUCAGGCUAGAGUAGGUGAGAGGAAGGUAGAAUUCCAGGUGUAGCGGUGAAAUGCGUAGAGAUCUNNGGAGGAAUACCGAUGGCGAAGGCAGCCUUCUGGCAUCAUACUGACACUGAGGCUCGAAAGCGUGGGUAGCAAACAGGAUUAGAUACCCUGGUAGUCCACGCCGUAAACGAUGUCUACUAGUCGUUGGGUCCCUUGAGGACUUAGUGACGCAGCUAACGCAAUAAGUAGACCGCCUGGGGAGUACGGCCGNCAAGGUUAAAACUCAAAUGAAUUGACGGGGGCCCGCACAAGCGGUGGAGCAUGUGGUUUAAUUCGAUGCAACGCGAAGAACCUUACCUGGUCUUGACAUAUCUAGAAUCCUGCAGAGAUGCGGGAGUGCCUUCGGGAAUUAGGAUACAGGUGCUGCAUGGCUGUCGUCAGCUCGUGUCGUGAGAUGUUGGGUUAAGUCCCGCAACGAGCGCAACCCUUGUCCUUAGUUACCAGCGGGUUAAGCCGGGAACUCUAAGGAUACUGCCAGUGACAAACUGGAGGAAGGCGGGGACGACGUCAAGUCAUCAUGGCCCUUACGACCAGGGCUACACACCUGCUACAAUGGUAGGUACAGAGGGCAGCUACACAGCGAUGUGAUGCGAAUCUCAAAAAGCCUAUCGUAGUCCAGAUUGGAGUCUGCAACUCGACUCCAUGAAGUAGGAAUCGCUAGUAAUCGCGGAUCAGAAUGCCGCGGUGAAU